UAGUCCUAGCCGUAAACGGUGAGCACUAGGUGUAGGAGGCAUCGACCCCUCCUGUGCCGCAGCUAACGCAUUAAGUGCUCCGCCUGGGGAGUACGACCGCAAGGUUGAAACUCAAAGGAAUUGACGGGGCCCCGCACAAGCGGUGGAGCAUGUGGUUUAAUUCGAUGCAACGCGAAGAACCUUACCCAGGUUUGACAUGCACUGGACCGGUGUGGAAACACACUUUCCCUUCGGGGUCGGUGCACAGGUGCUGCAUGGCUGUCGUCAGCUCGUGUCGUGAGAUGUUGGGUUAAGUCCCGCAACGAGCGCAACCCUUGUCCUUAGUUGCCAGCAAGUAAAGUUGGGCACUCUAAGGAGACUGCCGUCGAUAAGACGGAGGAAGGUGGGAUGACGUCAAGUCCUCAUGGUCCUUACACCUGGGGCUACACACGUGCUACAAUGGCCGGUACAGAGGGUUGCAAUGCCGCGAGGUGGAGCUAAUCCCAAAAAGCCGGUACUCAGUUCGGAUUGC
rnacentral:rRNA from 1 species